AUCACAGGUUGCCAUCCAGACGUAAACACCACAGAGGGCUAGAGAUCCUUUUUCAGGGGUGAUUCGCCAAAGGCUGUUUGGGUGAGAUUACUUUGAGGAAGAUCGGGAAACUGCGCAAAAGGAUCAUUUGUAGGAUCGGUGUUCAGAUUGGACGGCUGGAGAGGGACCUGUUUGCAGGUUAUUCCACUGGCUCUCCUUCUGGCAAUCUCUUCUGCCAAUCUCCCACAACCACAACCCUGUGAGCAGCCUCUGGGCAGGUCGUGGCCUCAUGGCCCCUGGAAAACAGACCUCACCAUUCCCGAUAGGCGCCCACGGUGAUGUCAAAUAGUGGAUUGCUGGUGAUCGAUCCCUGUUUGUCCAGCAAGAA